AAGUAAGUGACAGAGUGGUUAUGUAGUUAACUUGAAAUUAACCCNNGGGGGUUCGACUCCCUCCUUUCUUG
rnacentral:tRNA from 1 species